rnacentral:rRNA from 1 species
UUAUGUGAUCGUCUCUCGCAUAUCAAUAAGCGGAGGAAAAGAAACUAACAAGGAUUCCCCUAGUAACGGCGAGUGAAGCGGGAAGAGCUCAAAUUUGAAAUCUUAAAGGGUUUCCCUUUACGAAUUGUAGUUUAAAGAAGUGUUUUCUGUUGAGGUUUUGGUAAAAGUUCUUUGGAAUAGGACAUCAUAGAGGGUGAGAAUCCCGUAUUUGACCUUUACUUUCAACUUUGUGAUACACUUUCAAAGAGUCGGAUUGUUUGGGAAUGCAGUCCAAAAUGGGUGGUAAAUUUCAUCUAAAGCUAAAUAUUGGCGAGAGACCGAUAGCGAACAAGUACCGUGAGGGAAAGAUGAAAAGAACUUUGAAAAGAGAGUUAAACAGUACGUGAAAUUGUCAAAAGGGAAGCGUUUGACACCAGUGUUGUUUUUCUGAAAAUCAAUUAAAGAACUGUUUAUGCUAAGUUGUUUAGACUUUAUCAGCUAACUGUUUAGUUUUGAGCUUUUCUUUAAUGCACUUUUCAGUUAACAAGUCAACAUCAAUUUCUUUUGCUGUAAAAAAGCUUGAGGAAGGUGGCUUGAGAUUCGUCUUAAGUGUUUAUAGCCUCUUGCCUAUGCAGUCGGAGAGAUUGAGGUCUGCAGCGUAGAUCCUUCGGGGCUAAAUGCAUUUGUGCUAAGUUAUAGCAUUUUAUAGACAACUUGUUGACUAUGAUUUGUCUUGUAGCUUACUCGCUUAUGCUAUUUUACCUACGCUUAGGAUGUUGAUCUACAGAGCGAGAGU